rnacentral:rRNA from 1 species
UACGUAGGGAGCGAGCGUUGUCCGGAAUUACUGGGUGUAAAGGGAGCGUAGGCGGGACUGCAAGUUGGGUGUCAAAUCUACCGGCUCAACCGGUAGCCGCACUCAAAACUGCAGUUCUUGAGUGAAGUAGAGGCAGGCGGAAUUCCUAGUGUAGCGGUGAAAUGCGUAGAUAUUAGGAGGAACACCAGUGGCGAAGGCGGCCUGCUGGGCUUCUACUGACGCUGGGGCUCGAAAGUGUGGGGAGCAAACAGG